rnacentral:rRNA from 1 species
ACGUAGGGGACAAGCGUUAUUCGGAAUUACUGGGCGUAAAGGGCAUGUAGGCGGCCUUGUAAGCCUGGCGUGAAAGUCAUCGGCUUAACCGGUGGAUUGCGUUAGGAACUGCAGGGCUUGAGUCAUGGAGAGGAAGGCAGAAUUCCUGGUGUAGGGGUGAAAUCUGUAGAGAUCAGGAAGAAUACCAGUGGCGAAGGCGGCCUUCUGGCCAAUGACUGACGCUGAGGUGCGAAAGUGUGGGGAUCAAACAG